AUGCGGGACUCAUCAGAGGCCUCGCAAUUGGAAUGAGCGCACUUUAAAUCGUUCGACGAGGAUCUAUUGGAGGGCAAGUCUGGUGCCAGCAGCCGCGGUAAUUCCAGCUCCAAUAGCGUAUAUUAAAGUUGUUGCAGUUAAAAAGCUCGUAGUUGGAUCUGGGGUUCGGGUCGGCGGUUUGCCGCUUCGGCGGCUACUGCCGUGCUCGACUCUUACUAGCCGGUGCGUCUUGCGGUGCUCUUCAUCGAGUGCCGUAGGAGCCUGGCAUGUUUACUUUGAAAAAAUUAGAGUGCUCAAAGCAGGCGAUUCCGCCUGAAUAGUGUUGCAUGGAAUAAUGGAAUAGGACCUCGGUUCUAUUUUGUUGGUUUUCGGAACUUGAGGUAAUGAUUAAGAGGGACGGUCGGGGGCAUUCGUAUUUCGGUGUUAGAGGUGAAAUUCUUGGAUCGCUGAAAGACGGACAAAUGCGAAAGCAUCUGCCAAGAACGUCUCCAUUAAUCAAGAACGAAAGUCAGAGGUUCGAAGACGAUCAGACACCGUCCUAGUUCUGACCAUAAACGAUGCCAACUAGCGAUCCGCAGUGGUUGCUAUAAACGGACUCUGCGAGCAGCUUCCGGGAAACCAAAGUGUUUGGGUUCCGGGGGAAGUAUGGUUGCAAAGCUGAAACUUAAAGGAAUUGACGGAAGGGCACCACCAGGAGUGGAGCCUGCGGCUUAAUUUGACCCAACACGGGGAAACUCACCCGGUCCGGACACUGUAAGGAUUGACAGAUCGAGAGCUCUUUCUUGAUUCGGUGGAUGGUGGUGCAUGGCCGUUCUUAGUUGGUGGAGUGAUUUGUCUGGUUAAUUCCGAUAACGAACGAGACUCUAGCCUGCUAACUAGUUGCGCCGUGUUCAUACGCGGCUGUAGACUUCUUAGAGGGACAGGUGGCGUUUAGCCACACGAAAUUGAGCAAUAACAGGUCUGUGAUGCCCUUAGAUGUCCGGGGCCGCACGCGCGCUACACUGAAGGAGUCAGCGUGUGCUAUCCGGGCUCGGAAGAGUUCGGUAACCCGUUGAAACUCCUUCGUGCUUGGGAUUGUGGCUUGUAAUUAUCGCGCAUGAACGAGGAAUUCCCAGUAAGUGCAAGUCAUCAGCUUGCGCUGACUACGUCCCUGCCCUUUGUACACACCGCCCGUCGCUACUACCGAUUGAAUGGUUUAGCAAGGUACUCGGAUUGGUCUCGAUCUUGUACGAAAGUGCGGGAUCUGUGGCCGAGAAGAAGGCCAAACUUGAUCAUUUAGAGGAAGUAAA
rnacentral:rRNA from 1 species